GUGCAUCUGUGACAGCCCUGGAGCAGCUGGUGGCUGCUGCUAAGGCUUCCACGACAGAUGCGAGAGAAAGAAGGUCCUCACACACUCUGUCUGCAAGUGGCAGUCAGGAUUGAAUGGGGGAAGAUGGGG
rnacentral:snoRNA from 1 species